GGUGGUUAGGACUAGCAGUGUAUGGUGGGCUAGGACUAGCAGUGUAUGGUGUUAGGACUAGCAGUGUAUGGUGUUAUGACUAGCAGUGUAUGGUGUUAGGACUAGCAGUGUAUGGGGUUAGGACUAGCAGUGUUUGGUGGGUUAGGACUAGCAGUGUAUGGUGUUAGGACUAGCAGUGUAUGGUGUUAGGACUAGCAGUGUAUGGGGUUAGGACUAGCAGUGUAUGGUGGGUUAGGACUAGCAGUGUAUGGUGUUAGGACUAGCAGUGUGUGGUGUUAUGACUAGUAGUGUGUGGUGGGUUAGGACUAGCAGUGUGUGGUGUUAUGACUAGCAGUGUAUGGUGGGUUAGGACUAGCAGUGUGUGGUGUUAUGACUAGCAGUGUAUGGUGUUAUGACUAGCAGUGUAUGGUGGGUUAGGACUAGCAGUGUGUGGUGUUAUGACUAGCAGUGUGUGGUGGGUUAGGACUAGCAGUGUGUGGUGUUAUGACUAGCAGUGUAUGGUGGGUUAGGACUAGCAGUGUGUGGUGUUAUGACUUGCAGUGUGUGGUGGGUUAGGACUAGCAGUGUGUGGUGUUAUGACUAGCAGUGUGUGGUGGGUUUGGACUAGCAGUGUGUGGUGUUAUGACUAGCAGUGUGUGGUGGGUUAGGACUAGCAGUGUAUGGUGUUAGGACUAGCAGUGUGUGGUGGGUUAGGACUAGCAGUGUAUGGUGUUAGGACUAGCAGUGUGUGGUGGGUUAGGACUAGCAGUGGGUGGUGGGUUAGGACUAGCAGUGUGUGGUGUUAGGACUAGCAGUGUAUGGUGUUAUGACUAGCAGUGUAUGGUGUUAGGACUAGCAGUGUAUGGUGGGUUAGGACUAGCAGUGUAUGGUGUUAGGACUAGCAG
ensembl:lncRNA